rnacentral:rRNA from 1 species
AUUGAACGCUGGCGGCAUGCCUUAUACAUGCAAGUCGAACGGCCGCACGGGUGGUUGCCUCCGGUGGCGUGUGGCGCACGGGUGUGUAUUACAUCGGGAUAUGUUCUCUAGAGGGGUAUAGUACCGCGAAAGCCCGAUUGAUACCGCAUACGAUCUUCGUGAGCCACCGGGGGCCCUUCUGGCCUCCGGCUUUAGUGUCAGUUGUUGACUGAUCAGCGCCGCAUUAGCUAGUUGGUCUGGUAACGGCCUACCAAGGCGACGAUGAGUAGCUGAUCUGAGAGGACGAUCGGCCACACUGGAACUGAGACACGGCCCAGACUCCUACGGGAGGCAGCAGUAGGGAAUUUUGGACAAUGGGCGAAAGCCUGAUGCAGCAAUGCCGCGUGUGUGAUGAAGGCCUUCGGAUUGUAAAACACUGUUAUCCGGAAAGAAAACCUGGGCCCGAAUACGGGCGGGGGAUGACGGUACCGGAAGAAUAAGCACCGGCUAACUACGUG